GCCUAUACUCGUCUCAAAUUCCUGGCCUCAAGUGAUUCUCCUAACUUGGCCUCCCAAAAUAUUGGGAAUACAGGUGUGAACUACUGCACUUGACCAAUAGAAACACUUACAUGCUCCCCUGCCCUGACGUUUGGAGAAAAGACAAACGCCGAGACGAAGUGGCAAGAGCUUCUUUUCUCCUUCCCCCGUGCCUGCUGCUUAAUCAAUAUCAAAGUCCUGCUGCCAAGAGUGAUGAAUGGCUCAGGGGCAUCACAGGUUGGUGGCUCCUAGUGCCAUGUGAGCUGGCAGCUGCCACUGCCGUACCACCUGUGACCCACAUGUGUCUUUCUGAGAUGGCCAAAAACAAACUUUCUCUUCAAAUGUUGCUUUUUACCCAAUGUUGAUCAACAAAGUUAAUUAGUCAUUAACCUCCAGGUAUUCAAUUAGGUUUUUAGGCUUUAUUAGAUGGAGGUGCCCUAAAACUAAAUUCCCUUUUUUGAAAGAUAAAAGUUGCUUUAUAGCCAGUGAUGGACACCAGGGUGGCUGGCGCACAGGGAGGAAGAGAAAGGACCAUGAGAUGAAGGUGCAUGAGCUGGGGUCAUACCACGCAGAGCCUCUUCAACCAUUCUUGAGAGACGAGAGAGAGAGAGAGAGAUUUAAAUUCUAAGUGUAAUGAGAUGGAACUGAAAGCUCUGAAGAGACAGAGUGUCAUGACACAAUUUAAUAUUUAAAAGGAUCUUUCUGGCCUAGGGCAGAAAGAACAUCAUAGAGACAUACUAGGAAAUUGUGAUAAACAUCCAGGAAAGGGUAGAUCACAGUAUGUGAUAUGGUUUGGAUCUGUGUCCCUGCCCAAAUCUUAUGUUAAGUUGCAAUCCCCAGUGUUGGAGGAGGGGCCUGGUGGGAGGUGAUUGGGUCAUGAGGGUGGAUUUCCUUCUUGCUGUUCUCAUGAUAAUGAGUAAGUUCUCAGAUCUGGUUGUUUAAAAGUAUGUAGCCCAUCCCCCUUCACUCUCUUCCUCCUUCUCUGACCAUGUAAGAUGUGCCUGCUUCCCCUUCACCUUCCACCAUGAUUGUAAGUUUCCUGAGGUCUCCGCAGUCAUGCUUUCUGUACAGCCUGCAGAACUGUGAGUCAAUUAAACCCCUUUUAUUUAUAAAUUACCCAGUCUCAGGUAG
rnacentral:lncRNA from 10 species